rnacentral:piRNA from 1 species
GUCUGAAAUGGAGGCUACUCUUU